CUACGGGCGGCUCCAGUGGGGAAUAUUGCACAAUGGAGGAAACUCUGAUGCAGCAACGCCGCGUGGAGGAUGACACUUUUCGGAGCGUAAACUCCUUUUAUAUAGGAAGAAGAUGACGGUACUAUAUGAAUAAGCGCCGGCUAACUCCGUGCCAGCGAGCCGCGGUAAUACGGAGGGCGCAAGCGUUACUCGGAAUCACUGGGCGUAAAGAGCGUGUAGGCGGAUUAAAAAGUCAGAAGUGAAAUCCUAUAGCUUAACUAUAGAACUGCUUCUGAAACUCUUAAUCUAGAAUAUGGGAGAGGUAGAUGGAAUUUCUGGUGUAGGGGUAAAAUCCGUAGAGAUCAGAAGGAAUACCGAUUGCGAAGGCGAUCUACUAGAACAUUAUUGACGCUGGGACGCGAAAGCGUGGGGAGCAAACAGGAUUAGAUACCCCAGUAGUC
rnacentral:rRNA from 1 species